rnacentral:rRNA from 1 species
GGAGACAUUACGGGAGGCAGCAGUAGGGAAUAUUGCUCAAUGGGCGAGAGCCUGAAGCAGCAACGCCGCGUGUGUGAUGAAGGCCUUCGGGUCGUAAAGCACUUUUCUGGGAGAUGAGAAAGGACAGCAUCCCAGGAAUAAGUCUCGGCUAACUACGUGCCAGCAGCCGCGGUAAAACGUAGGAGGCAAGCGUUAUCCGGAUUCACUGGGCGUAAAGCGCGUGCAGGUGGCGCGGUAAGUUGGGCGUGAAAUCUCCCGGCUCAACUGGGAGAGGUCGUCCAAUACUACCGUGCUUGAGAGCAGAAGAGGAAGAUGGAAUUCCCGGUGUAGUGGUGAAAUGCGUAGAUAUCGGGAGGAACACCAGUGGCGAAGGCGAUCUUCUGGUCUGUUUCUGACACUCAGACGCGACAGCUAGGGUAGUAAACGGGAUUAGAGACCCCGGUAAUCCUAGCCGUAAACGAUGUGAACUUGGCGUUGGUGGGUUAAACUCCAUCAGUGCCGUAGCAAACGCGAUAAGUUCACCGCCUGGGGACUACGGCCGCAAGGUUAAAACUCAAAGGAAUUG